rnacentral:rRNA from 1 species
GACGAACGCUGGCGGCGUGCUUAACACAUGCAAGUCGAACGGUGAAGCUCCAGCUUGCUGGAGUGGAUCAGUGGCGAACGGGUGAGUAACACGUGAGCAACCUGCCCCUGACUCUGGAAUAAGCGCUGGAAACGGCGUCUAAUACUGGAUACGAGAAGGGUCCGCAUGGGCACUUUCUGGAAAGUUUUUCGGUUGGGGAUGGGCUCGCGGCCUAUCAGCUUGUUGGUGAGGUAAUGGCUCACCAAGGCGACGACGGGUAGCCGGCCUGAGAGGGCGACCGGCCACACUGGGACUGAGACACGGCCCAGACUCCUACGGGAGGCAGCAGUGGGGAAUAUUGCACAAUGGGCGAAAGCCUGAUGCAGCGACGCCGCGUGAGGGAUGACGGCCUUCGGGUUGUAAACCUCUUUCAGCAGGGAAGAAGCGGAAGUGACGGUACCUGCAGAAGAAGCACCGGCUAACUACGUG